CGCUUCACCUCGGGGUGCCUUUGGGCUGAGACGCAUGUGCGGACCCGUUGAACCUGAUCCGGGUAACUCCGGCGGAGGGAAGGUCCAGAAAACGUCU
rfam:Rhodobacteraceae bacterium HIMB11 HIMB11_contig34.1, whole genome shotgun sequence.